GCGAACAGCUCAGUAACACGUAGUCAACCUGCCCUCGAGUCUGGAAUAAUCUCGGGAAACUGAGGCUAAUGCUGGAUAUGUGAGAGGUACUGGAAUGUCUUUUCAUUCAAAGAUACGCUCGAGGAUGGGACUGCGGUUGAUUAGGCUGAUGCCGGGGUAAAGUCCCGGCAUACCGAUAAUCAAUACGGGCCUUGAGAGAGGAAGCCCGGAGAUGGAUUCUGAGACAAGAAUCCAGGUCCUACGGGACGCAUCAGGCGCGAAAAUUCCACAAUGCGCGAAAGCGUUAUGGAGAGAUCCGAAGUGACACCGCUAAGCGGUGUCUUUUGCCAAGUGCAAAAAGCUUGGAGAAUAAGGGGUGGGUAAGACGGGUGCCAGCCGCCGCGGUAAUACCCGCGCCCCGAGUGGUAGUCGCUUUUAUUGGGUUUAAAGCGUCCGUAGCCGGUUUGUUAAGUUUCUAAUGAAAUCCCGCAGUAAACUGUGGGAAUUGUUAGGAAUACUAGCAAACUUGGGACCGGGAGAAGCUAGGAGUACUGUAGGGGUAAGGGUAAAAUCUUAUAAUCCUUACAGGACUACCAGUGGCGAAGGCGCCUAGCUAGAACGGAUCCGACGGUGAGGGGCGAAAGCUAGGGGAGCAAAGGGGAUUAGAUACCCCCGUAGUCCUAGCUGUAAACGAUACCCACUAGACGUUGGACAUCUUAAGAGGGUUUCCAGUGUCACAGGGAAACCGUUAAGUGGGUCCCCUGGGGAGUACGGCCCCAAGACUGAAACUUAAAGGAAUUGGCGGGGGAGCACACAAGGGGUGGAGGCGUGCGGUUUAAUUGGA
rnacentral:rRNA from 1 species